UCCUGCAGUCGGACGGCAGCGCGGGCUUCGGCCUGGCGGCGAGUGGCGAACGGGUGAGUAAGACAUCGGAACGUGUCCUGGAGUGGGGGAUAGCCCGGCGAAAGCCGGAUUAAUACCGCAUACGAUCUGAGGAUGAAAGCGGGGGACCGAAAGGCCUCGCGCUCAAGGGGCGGCCGAUGGCAGAUUAGCUAGUUGGUGGGGUAAAGGCCUACCAAGGCGACGAUCUGUAGCUGGUCUGAGAGGACGACCAGCCACACUGGAACUGAGACACGGCCCAGACUCCUACGGGAGGCAGCAGUGGGGAAUUUUGGACAAUGGGGGCAACCCUGAUCCAGCAAUGCCGCGUGUGUGAAGAAGGCCUUCGGGUUGUAAAGCACUUUUGUCCGGAAAGAAAACUUCGGGGCUAAUACCCCUGGAGGAUGACGGUACCGGAAGAAUAAGCACCGGCUAACUACGUGCCAGCAGCCGCGGUAAUACGUAGGGUGCGAGCGUUAAUCGGAAUUACUGGGCGUAAAGCGUGCGCAGGCGGUUCGCUAAGACCGAUGUGAAAUCCCCGGGCUUAACCUGGGAACUGCAUUGGUGACUGGCGGGCUAGAGUAUGGCAGAGGGGGGUAGAAUUCCACGUGUAGCAGUGAAAUGCGUAGAGAUGUGGAGGAAUACCGACGGCGAAGGCAGCCCCCUGGGCCAAUACUGACGCUCAUGCACGAAAGCGUGGGGAGCAAACAGGAUUAGAUACCCUGGUAGUCCACGCCCUAAACGAUGUCAACUGGUUGUCGGGCCUUCAUUGGCUUGGUAACGUAGCUAACGCGUGAAGUUGACCGCCUGGGGAGUACGGUCGCAAGAUUAAAAC
rnacentral:rRNA from 1 species